rnacentral:lncRNA from 1 species
UGGGUAUGAUUUUUAGGAUUAGGGGUCUUCAUUUGGAAAGUGUAACAGAUAGUGCUGAAAUAGAGGUAACUGAAAAUGACUUCUGGGCAUUAUGGUUUUGUGUCACAAUUUGGCUUAGGGUUCGGGAUGUCAUGUGAAUCAAGUACGUUGUUAUUGAAGUGUGAGUAGGAUUGACAGAGUUAAGAUUAGUGUUAGGUAAAGUAUGGUAUUUUGUUGCAUAUUCCUGAACAUUGCAGUGAGGCUGUGACGGGAAGUGUUGGGUUCAAGUUCUACCUAGGGUUAGGGUUUGGGUUGGGGUGAUAGUUAGCUUUGAAAUUGAAAUGCCUGUGUCUUCAAGUGUGUGUUGGAAAGUUAGUAUAAGCAUAAGUUCAUCGUGAGGAUUAGGGAUAAUGUAGAAUUUCAAGUACCUGGGUAUUGGAAUUAGGUCUUGCUGCUUAUGGUUAGGGUUAGGAUUAGUUUUAGGUUUAGGGUUCCAAUUCCUAUACCUGACGUAUGGAGUUUGGGUAUCAUUUUUAGAGUGAGGGGUCAUCUUUCGGUAAGUGUCAUGGAUAGUGCAAAAAUAGAGUUAUGAGAAAAUAACUUCUGGGUGUUCCUGUUUGUGUCACAAUUCAGCUUACAUUUAGGGAUGGCACAUGGAUCAAGUACCUGGUAAUUGGAGAGUAAGUGGAAUUGUUAGAGAUAGGAUUAUUGUUAGCUAAAAUAUAGUGUUUUCUUUCAUAUUCCUGAACAUUGCAGUGUGUCUACGAUGGGUAGUAGCAGGGUUAAGGUUCUAUCAAGUGUUAGGUUUAGGUUUGGGGUGAUAGAUAGGGUUGAUAUUGGAAUGCCUGUGUCUUUAAGUGUGGGUUGGAAAGUUAGUAUUAGCGUAAGUUCAUAGUGAGGGUUAGGGAUAUUGUAGAAUUUCGAGAACCUGGGUAUUGGAAUUUAUCCUGCUGCUUAGGGUUAGGGUUAGGAUUAGGUUAACAUUUAGGUUUCCAAUUUAUGUACCUGAAGUUUGAAGUGUGGGUAUAAUUUUUAGGGUUAGAGUUCUUCUUUUCAUAAGUGUCACUGGUAGAGCUGAAAUAGAGGUACCUGAAAAUGACUUCUGGGCAUUAUGGUUUGUGUCACAAUUCUGUUUAGGAUUAGGGAUAGGACGUGGUUAAAGUACCUGUUUAUUGGAGUUUUAGUAGGAUUGUUAGAGCUAGGAUUAGUGUUAGGUAAAGUAUAGUGUUUUGUAACACGUGCCUGAACAUUGCAGUGUGUGUAUGACUUGUAGUAUUAGGCUUAACGAUCUAGCUAGUGUUAGGUAUAGGGUUGGGGUAAUGGAUAGCAUUGAAUUUGAAAGGUCUGUGUCUUCAAGUGUGGGUUUGAAAGUGAGUAUUAGCGUCAGUUCAUGGUGAGGGUUAGGUGUAAUGUAGAAUUUCAAGUACCUGGGUAUUGGAAUGUGGUCCUGCUGCAUAGAUUUAGGGUUAGGAUUACUUUUAGGUUUAGGGUUCCAAUUCAUGUACCUGAGGUUUGGAGUGUGGGUAUGAUUUUUAGGGUUCGGGGUCUUCAUUUGGUAAGUGUCAUGGAUAGUGCUGAACUAGACUUACCUGUAAAUGACUUCUGGGCAUUA